CCUACGGGAGGCAGCAGUGAGGAAUAUUGGUCAAUGGACGAGAGUCUGAACCAGCCAAGUAGCGUGAAGGAUGACUGCCCUAUGGGUUGUAAACUUCUUUUAUAAAGGAAUAAAACGAGGCACGUGUGCCUUUUUGCAUGUACUUCAUGAAUAAGGAUCGGCUAACUCCGUGCCAGCAGCCGCGGUAAUACGGAGGAUCCGAGCGUUAUCCGGAUUUAUUGGGUUUAAAGGGCGCGUAGAUGGGUUGUUAAGUCAGUUGUGAAAGUUUGCGGCUCAACCGUAAAAUUGCAAUUGAUACUGGUAGUCUUGAGUACAGUUGAGGUAGGCGGAAUUCGUGGUGUAGCGGUGAAAUGCUUAGAUAUCACGAAGAACCCCGAUUGCGAAGGCAGCUUACUAAACUGUGACUGACAUUGAUGCUCGAAAGUGUGGGUAUCAAACAGGAUUAGAUACCCGUGUAGUC
rnacentral:rRNA from 1 species